GUGGGGAAUUUUGGACAAUGGGGGCAACCCUGAUCCAGCAAUGCCGCGUGCAGGAAGAAGGCCUUCGGGUUGUAAACUGCUUUUGUACGGAACGAAAAGGCUCUGGUUAAUACCUUGGGCACAUGACGGUACCGUAAGAAUAAGCACCGGCUAACUACGUGCCAGCAGCCGCGGUAAUACGUAGGGUGCAAGCGUUAAUCGGAAUUACUGGGCGUAAAGCGUGCGCAGGCGGUGCUGUAAGACAGGCGUGAAAUCCCCGGUCUUAACCUGGGAAUGGCGCUUGUGACUGCAGUGCUGGAGUGUGGCAGAGGGGGAUGGAAUUCCGCGUGUAGCAGUGAAAUGCGUAGAUAUGCGGAGGAACACCGAUGGCGAAGGCAAUCCCCUGGGCCUGCACUGACGCUCAUGCACGAAAGCGUGGGGAGCAAACAGGAUUAGAUACCCCGGUAGUCC
rnacentral:rRNA from 1 species